CAGGAAGAUCCGCUGGUGAAGGGAAUGGCAACCCACUCUACUGUUCUUGCCUGGAGAAUUCCAUGGACAGAAGAGCCUCGUGGGGUACAGUCCAUGGGAUCUCAAAGAGUCAGACACAAACGAGCGACUUUCACUUUCCUAAAGGCCACUUCAUCCUCUUCUCUCUCCUUUCUCCUUGUUUCAAUGCUUUCGAAAACACGUUUGCUCUAUGAUGAACAAUAUACUGCUACGUUAGCAGAAGCUGUAUUGGUAGCAAAAUAUGUAUCAUGUUUAUUGAUUGAGGUAGAUGAUGGAAAACACUGGAGACCACCCAUUAGCGUGCACACUUGUAUGGGCCACGUCCCCAGCAUCUGUUUCUUUUCUUCCGUCAAAAUUCAGGGUCCCGUUUUCUGUGACCAUGCCCCAUGUCAUUUUGCGGCAGCCAGGCGUGCUGUACGAGACUGAUCACAGCCCAGCUCCAGGAGUGGUCCCUGUUUGGUUUACACCAAUCAGAGGAGCCCAUUCCCCUUGGGCAUUGUGACUGACUUAGGGAUGAGGCUGCCUGGUCCUCACAGAGAGGAGAAAUAUUCACCAAGGGCUUCUGACCAGGAAGCUUCCUGGAUUUGCUGUGCGCUACCAGAAGAGAUGUCCCGUCUUUCUCUGGGCCUGUAGCCUGAAGAUGUGAGGGCUGACCUGGCUCUGCUGCAGUGGGUUCUUCAGCCCGGGGAUGAUGGCGACAUUCGGAGGAGGUCAGAAUGGAAAGAAUCACACAGACAUGGACCCAGAACCCUGAGGCAACUUGAGCCUCUGGAUUAAUCCAUGCCUGAAGUUUCCCUUGCUUUCGGGUUUUUUUUUUUUUGUUUUUUUCCGGUUAUAGGAGCCAAGAAAUUCCUUUUAUUUUAUUGGUACUUGAUGAGCACUGAAGAAAUGAUGCUUUUGAACUGUGGUGUUGGAAAAGACUCUUGAGAGUCCCUUGGACUGCAAGGACAUCCAACCAGUCCAUCCUAAAGGAAAUCCAUCCUGAAUAUUCACUGGAAGGACUGAUGUUGAAGCUGAAACUCCAAUACUUUGGCCACCUGAUGCGAAUAACUGACUCAUUGGGAAAGACCCUGACCCUGGGAAAGACUGAAGGCAGGAGGAGAAGGGGACAACAGAGGAGAGCAGAAGGGGACAUGGUUGGAUGGCAUCACCGACUCAAUGGACACAAGUUUCAGUAAACUCUGGGAGUUGGCGAUGGAUAGGGAGGCCUGCUGUGCUGCAGUCCAUGGGGUCACAAAGAGUCGGACACGACUGAGCGACUGAACUGAACUGAACUGAACUGAA
ensembl:lncRNA